rnacentral:rRNA from 1 species
CAAUAGCGUAUAUUUAAGUUGCUGCAGUUAAAAAGCUCGUAGUUGGAUUUCGGGUGGGAAUGGCCGGUCCGCCGUUUCGGUGUGCACUUGCUACGCCCACCUUGCUGCCGGGGACGUGCUCUUGAGCUCACGCUCGGGACACGGAGUCGGCGAGGUUACUUUGAGUAAAUUAGAGUGCUCAAAGCAGGCCUACGCUCUGAAUACAUUAGCAUGGAAUAACACGAUAGGACUCUGGCCUAUCUUGUUGGUCUGUAGGACCGGAGUAAUGAUUAAGAGGGACAGUCGGGGGCAUUCGUAUUUCAUUGUCAGAGGUGAAAUUCUUGGAUUUAUGAAAGACGAACUACUGCGAAAGCAUUUGCCAAGGAUGUUUUCAUUAA